AUGCUGCCAAUAUGCUUUAUUUUCUUUUUCUUACUGAUUAGCUCUAAGCCAUCCACGUCUUCAGGAAACACCACAGAUCAGCUGGCUGUCUUGCUGGGAUGUCGUGCUGUGAUACCUUGUCAACAAUCGAGCAGUGGCUCGGACUCUUUCAAAUGGUUUUACAAGAAGGACGAACACAGAGAACAAGUCCAGAUAUUCUUUAGAGACAGAAGUGGUAUAGUGCGCCAUGAUGCCUUUCUUCCAAGAAGGGUAGUUAUGCCUAAUCGCUCUUUGGUCAUCAAUCAUUUCACUGAAAAUGACCAGGGCAUGUAUUGGUGUGUAAACUGUCGUCAAGACAAAUGCUGGGAUAAACAGUCAGCAGUCAUCAGAGUGAAGAAAGGAAUUCUAAGUGAAAUGUAUAAAUUAAUUUACAUUGCUGAGGGUGAGAGUUUUACACAUGAAUGUCCGGGUGAAUUCACUGACUUCAACUGGACUUUUAAGGGUAAUAAUGAACUAAUGACUUCCAACAAGUCUAUACAUAUUGUAAAAGUCAAACAAGAAAAUACUGGAAAAUACACCUGCUGGACGACACUAUGUAACGGACACAUUCAGAAUCUACUGACCAUCAACCUGUGUGUGGUUACAGGGUGGGAUGUGAUAUUUAAUAACACCAACAGCAGCGUGGCAGUAAAUACAUCACAGCAUGUAGACCUGUUCGGGUCCAUAAUGUGCAGCGCCAAGCAGAUGUUUGAUGGAUACACUACAGUCAGUCAUGUGCCGUUACAUAUCUUUAACCAAACAACAGAGGGGGAUUCUAGAGAGCUGCUGCCAGUUAUUUAUGGAACAUCAGUGGUUCUUGGGUGUCUCAUUUUAGUGACGAUUUUUUGCUUCAGAUCAAGAUUGCGAGCAGCAUUUCCUGUUCACCUUUGUCUCUGCUGCUCAAAUGGCAGGGUAAGUGUUUGAAGAUGUCAAUAACACAAUGUUUCAGCUACCAUGCAGAAAAGAACAACUGUGUCUGUUGUGUGUGUGUGUGUGUGUGUGUGUCUUACUUCUCAUCAAAGGUGGAAGAGGAAGCUUCGGUAGUAUACGCAUCGAUUGUCAUCCGGGCCCCUGCUAAAACAAGAAAUGAUCCGAUGACUUGCAGUGAUGUUAUCUAUGGAGAAAUUAAAGUAUAAAACAAUAUCUCUGGUCAAAUAGUUAACCAUGUGCACCAUUUCUGUGAUAUGAUUUAGGAAUCAGCGCCUUAGAGACAAUAUGUGUCAUGAAAUUAACCCACGUGGAGAAUUUUUUUUCAGUUUCCAAACUGAUAAUUUGUCAGUGAGUGAUUUUUUCCUUUAACUCAUGAACAGAAGACAAAGCACAUGUCAUAUACUGUAUGUUCAGUUGAGUCUUAAUAAGAAGCAUUGUUUUUAUACUAAUGAUGUGUAAAGAUAUUGUCUUCAGAUACAAGAGCUAUAAGACAUUAUCUGUUUCACUUUCAACCAGCUGGGCUAUAUGUGGCUUCAAUGUUGAUUAGGUUCAGUUCAGUAUUCAGCAUCAGAAAUAAUAAUAAAAAAAUAAAAUAAAUUAAAGGUGCGUAAUGG
ensembl:lncRNA uncharacterized LOC114448804